AAGGUACGGGAGGCAGCAGUGGGGAAUUUUGCACAAUGGACGCAAGUCUGAUGCAGCGACGCCGCGUGAGGGAUGUAGGCCUUCGGGUUGUGAACCUCUUUCCUAGACGAAGAGAGAGUAUUGUAGUAACUGACAAUACUAGGACGGUAGACUAGGAGGAAGCCCCGGCUAACUAUGUGCCAGCAGCCGCGGUAAUCCUU
rnacentral:rRNA from 1 species